UCAUUUCAUUAACAACAAAUUCACUUGGAAUUGUUUGUUAUCUUUGUUUUCUUACCUGUUGGCUGUGUGUGGGAGCUUUACGCACUGCCCAGGUAUUACAGGAGCAGGUGUCUGAUAAUGGAGAGGCUGAAUGUCAAAGAGGCGCUGCUAUUAAAAAGGUUUUCGACCGUGCUCUUUACGUUGAUUGGUGGCUGCUCGUUUCCCAGUUUCCUUUUGACAACUAAGAAGACAGCUUUGCUCAUUUUUGAGUUGAAGAGUAAACGCAGUUACCUUUUGAAAUCUAGAGUUCUGGAAAGUUCUGGAAAGUUCUUGGACACACCCACGGCUGCAAUCAAAUAAAAACAGUCGAGUCAUUCAAGUUGAAAAACCUUUUGAUUGAACAAAAGAAGAUAGACUCCACAAGCGGAGGAACACAAGCAGCGGAGACAGUGGACGGAGCUUCUGCGGUCUGUCAUUUCAUCAUUCUUGUCAUCUCUGCAUUCGCAUUCGAAGGCUUCAUCACAUCGUCACAGCCGUCCUAUCAGUUCCACAACUGGAAAACCUUCCAUCAGCUUCGCAGAAAGCUGUCCCUAACAACCUCGUCCAAAGCACACCCUCAGCUCACUGACUGGCCAGCAUCAGUUCUGGAAAAUUCUUGGACACUGCUGCUGAAAAAGGCCCUAAACCUAGAUGAAACAGGAACUCAGGACUUCAAGGUCAGGAGUGGGAUCCAGAAGGAUGGACAGGAGUGAGAUGGUGGUAGCCCUGUUUACUUCUUUGUAAAAAUGCAUUAAGAGAGUCAGAAUAACAGAUUAAAAAUUGCUAAAAUGACAAAACUUGAGAGACAGUGUCUGUCCUCUCUGGUGUGAAUGAUGCAUACAAGCUACACAGUCUGCUGAAAAAAUGUUUCUAUAAUUUGUAAAUAAAGUAGGCUG